rnacentral:RNase_MRP_RNA from 18 species
UCGGAGUAAUACUAACGGAUGAAUUGAGAUUGUAAAAGAUUUUGAUGUCAUCAAGUAAAUUAAUCAACUCUGGGAGAAAGUCCCCGGAUCUUAGGGUAGAAAGUACCAGCUGUGAAAGCCGGAUCCUCCUGGAAAGUGGAUGUCAGAUUUGACUUUCUUUCAUUUGAGCUCUGGCUUCUUCGGAAGUUUUGAGUUAU